rnacentral:rRNA from 1 species
GACGAACGCUGGCGGCGUGCUUAACACAUGCAAGUCGAACGGAAAGGCCCUGCUUUUGUGGGGUGCUCGAGUGGCGAACGGGUGAGUAACACGUGAGUAACCUGCCCUUGACUUUGGGAUAACUUCAGGAAACUGGGGCUAAUACCGGAUAGGAGCUCCUGCUGCAUGGUGGGGGUUGGAAAGUUUCGGCGGUUGGGGAUGGACUCGCGGCUUAUCCGCUUGUUGGUGGGGUAGUGGCUUACCAAGGCUUUGACGGGUAGCCGGCCUGAGAGGGGGACCGGCGACAUUGGUACUGAGAGACGGCGCAGACUGCAACGGGAGGCAGCAGUGGAGAAUAUUGCAGAGUGGGCGGAAGCCAGAUGCAGCAACGCUGCGAGCGGGAUGACGGCCUUCGGGUUGUAAACCGCUGUCGCCUGUGACGAAGCGUGAGUGACGGUAAUGGGUAAGGAAGCACCGGCUAACUACGUG